rnacentral:rRNA from 1 species
UACGUAGGUGGCAAGCGUUGUCCGGAUUUAUUGGGCGUAAAGCGAGCGCAGGCGGUUCCUUAAGUCUGAUGUGAAAGCCCACGGCUCAACCGUGGAAGGUCAUUGGAAACUGGGGAACUUGAGUGCAGAAGGAGGAGAGUGGAAUUCCAUGUGUAGCGGUGAAAUGCGUAGAUAUAUGGAGGAACACCAGUGGCGAAGGCGACUCUCUGGUCUGUAACUGACGCUGAGGCUCGAAAGCGUGGGGAGCAAACAGGAUUAGA